rnacentral:lncRNA from 1 species
UUUUGUAGAGAUGUUCUCACGAUGUUGCCCAGACUGGUUUGGAACUCCUGGGUUCAAGGACUCCUCCUGCCUCAGCCUCCCAAAGUGCUGAGUUAUCAAACACUGAAGUGGAAUGAUGGUAUUGUUUUGCCAUAAAGCAAGUUUUAGAUAUUAGAUGACUGUUUUUUUUCCCCCUUGUAGCUUAACAGAGCGUUCCAAAAAGAGGACUCUCCAGCUACUUUUUAUUGCAUCAGUAUGCAGUGGUUUAGAGAAUGGGAAAGUUUUGUGAAGGGUAAAGAUGGAGAUCCUCCAGGUCCUAUUGACAAUACUAAGAUUGCAGUCACUAAAUGUGGUAAUGUGAUGCUUAGGCAAGGUAAGUUUGACUCGUAUUUAAGCUUUUACUUGUGAGUGAUUUGUCACUGUUAGAAAUAUGUUAUCAUUAGUCAUCUAUAGUACUUUUUUAUUCAACUGAAGAAUGUAAUCCAUACAUUAACUAGGGCAAGUAAUGAAAAGCAGCCACUUUUUUUUUAUCUGAGGAAAGGUCUUAAGGCUGUUGUUAAGAGCAAAGCAAAAGCAUCUCUGACUUUUUAAGACAAGCCAUAUGUUUCAGCUUAUAACAAUAUGGGC